rnacentral:ncRNA from 2 species
UAGAUAUCAAGAGUGGUGGUAGAGAAUUGGCUCGGCGACCCCACAGCAACCUUUCGACAAGCUCAAGGCAAGCCCGCACUGAGUUUACCGAAGUGGUGCUAACUCCAACCUUUAAAAAAGGAAAGAUAAUUA